GCACGGAUUAAGAUUCGUGCGAAUUGACGGUACCCACUGAAGGAAGCACCGGUUAACGUCGGUGCCAGCAGCCGCGGUAAUACGGGAGGGUGCAUGCGUUAUUCGGAAUUAUUGGGCGUAAAGGGCGCGCAGGCGGCCCGUUAAGUCAGAUGUGAAAGCCCAGGGCUCAACCCUGGAACUUGCAUUUGAUACUGGCGGGCUUGAGUAUGGGAGAGGAAAGCGGAAUUCCUUGGUGUAGCGGUGAAAUGCGUAGAUAUCAGGAGGAACACCGGUGGCGAAGGCGCUUUCUGGGCCAAUAUGAACGCUGGAGGCGUGAAGGGGUGGGGAGCAAACAGGAUUAGAUACAAAUGGUAGUCCGCGCAGUAAACGGUNGAUCAGUAGGUGUUUGCGGGGUAUUUGACCCCUCUUGGGCCAAAGCUNNCCCUUUGCUUCUGUAGAAUGGCUCUGAGG
rnacentral:rRNA from 1 species